rnacentral:rRNA from 1 species
UGAGGAAUAUUGGACAAUGGGCGAAAGCCUGAUCCAGCAAUGCCGCGUGCAGGAAGAAGGCCUUCGGGUUGUAAACUGCUUUUGUACGGAACGAAAAGGCUCUUUCUAAUAAAGAGGGCCCAUGACGGUACCGUAAGAAUAAGCACCGGCUAACUACGUGCCAGCAGCCGCGGUAAUACGUAGGGUGCGAGCGUUAAUCGGAAUUACUGGGCGUAAAGCGUGCGCAGGCGGUUCUAUAAGACAGAUGUGAAAUCCCCGGGCUCAACCUGGGAAUGGCAUUUGUGACUGUAGAGCUAGAGUACGGUAGAGGGGGAUGGAAUUCCGCGUGUAGCAGUGAAAUGCGUAGAUAUGCGGAGGAACACCGAUGGCGAAGGCAAUCCCCUGGACCUGUACUGACGCUCAUGCACGAAAGCGUGGGGAGCAAACAGGAUUAGAUACCCGAGUAGUCCCUGAGCGGGCUGGCAAGGCGCAU